AACGAACGCUGGCGGCAGGCCUAACACGUGCAAGUCGAGCGGCCUUUCGGGGGAGCGGCGGGCGGGUGAGUAACGCGUGGGAAUAUGCCCUUCUCUACGGAAUAGCCUCGGGAAACUGAGAGUAAUACCGAAUACGCCCUGAGGGGGGAAGGUUUAUCGGGGUAGGAUUAGCCCGCGUUGGAUUAGGGAGUUGGUGGGGUAAUGGCCUGCCAAGCCGACGAUCCAUAGCUGGGUUGAGAGGAUGAUCAGCCACACUGGGACUGAGACACGGCCCAGACUCCUACGGGAGGCAGCAGUGGGGAAUCUUAGACAAGGGGGGCAAACCUGAUCAAGCCAUGCCGCGUGAGUGAGGAAGGCCUUAGGGUUGUAAAGCUCUUUCAGCUGGGAAGAUAAUGACGGUACCAGCAGAAGAAGCCCCGGCUAACUCCGUG
rnacentral:rRNA from 1 species